rnacentral:rRNA from 1 species
UACGGAGGGGGCUAGCGUUGUUCGGAAUUACUGGGCGUAAAGCGCACGUAGGCGGCUUGGUAAGUUAGAGGUGAAAGCCUGGAGCUCAACUCCAGAAUUGCCUUUAAGACUGCCGAGCUAGCAGGUGAGAGAGGUGAGUGGAAUUCCGAGUGUAGAGGUGAAAUUCGUAGAUAUUCGCAAGAACACCAGUGGCGAAGGCGGCUCACUGGCCCGAUACUGACGCUGAGGCACGAAAGCGUGGGGAGCAAACAGG